AGAGUUUGAUCCUGGCUCAGGACGUACGCUGGCGGCGUGCCUAAUACAUGCAAGUCGAACGGUAGCACAGAGGAGCUUGCUCCUUGGGUGACGAGUGGCGGACGGGUGAGUAAUGUCUGGGAAACUGCCCGAUGGAGGGGGAUAACUACUGGAAACGGUAGCUAAUACCGCAUAACGUCGCAAGACCAAAGAGGGGGACCUUCGGGCCUCUUGCCAUCGGAUGUGCCCAGAUGGGAUUAGCUAGUAGGUGGGGUAACGGCUCACCUAGGCGACGAUCCCUAGCUGGUCUGAGAGGAUGAUCAGCCACACUGGAACUGAGACACGGUCCAGACUCCUACGGGAGGCAGCAGUGGGGAAUAUUGCACAAUAGGGGAAACCCUGAUGCAGCCAUGCCGCGUGUGUGAAGAAGGCCUUCGGGUUGUAAAGUACUUUCAGCGAGGAGGAAGGCGUUGUGGUUAAUAACCGCAGCGAUUGACGUUACUCGCAGAAGAAGCACCGGCUAACUCCGUGCCAGCAGCCGCGGUAAUAC
rnacentral:rRNA from 1 species